UACAUAUAAGGUUAGUUGUAGAGUACGAUAUUGUAUUGGUCAAACAUACAAAGUAUCUUACGUUAUUCUUCCACCAUUGAGUAGAGGAUGAAUACAUUUAGAACUACUUUUUUAGUUGUCGUAUUUUGUGGAUUAUGUAGCUUAGCCUUCCAACCUUCAAAAGAUGUAAAAGGUGACAAUGAGAGUGAUAAAACACCACUUGACACCAAGGAAAUCCUUCGAAAUUCAAGAUCAAAAUCAAGAGAUGUAGAAAUCAAAGCAGUUGACAUGUCUAAGGCCAUGCAAAGGCGAACAUUACAAUUUACCCGGGAGGCUUUUGCAGAAUAUUCCAGCGUGAAGGACAUAGCGGAUCACAUUAAAGACGAACUUGAUGACACUUACGGCGGGAGAUACCACUGCAUUGUUGGAACAUCAUUUGGCUUUUCUAUUACCUAUGAUCUGAGAUAUUAUUUUUACUUCAAACUGAAUGGAUAUACCAUCAUGGUUUUCAGACAUUGAUAGAUGCCACACAGUGGAAUUUAAGACAUUAGGAUGUUACACUAUAGGAAAAACUGUAUAUCUAUUUAUUCAUGAUAAAUUUCCACUCUUAUCACUAGUUAUAAUAGAUACUCAAAUUAAUCUUGA